CGCAAUGUUCUGAAAUACAGAAUCUUCCCAUGUUAGACUUCAGACAACUCAGCACCGAGAUUCCAUUGGUUCCUACAGGACUCUACUGAAGUCAUCUAUGGCUUGAGGAAGGAGCCACAGCCUCUGUCCCCAGGCGAUGCAGUUACUCCUCUUUGUUUGAUUGUGAAGAGUCCUUCAGAUACUCUCACCCAGCUUCCCGCUCAUACCCCAGCUUCUAGGCCUAGGGGCUCAUUUCAAAAAUGUGCCUGAAGUUAAAAUCUAACCUAAAAUAUACAUUUUUUUUUUUUACUUGGUGACUGAGGCAUGAAAUGGAAUCAUGUGGGAUCAGGAAGUGCCAGAGUAGAACAAAGAAACAAUACCAACAACACAGAAAUUAGUGUUUUCUGAGCUCUGGGAAACACAUGUUUGAGAAAGUUAAUUCCCUGGGAAGUACUUGCUUCUAUGUUGUAGUUUUUUCUGUUCUACUCUACCACUUCCUUAUCCCAUGUGAUUCUGUUUCAUGGCUCAGUCACUGAAAAGAAAAUGUAUAUUUUAAUUUUGAAGUGUGAAUUCUAAAAUAUCUUUGAAGUGUGCAUUGGUGCAACAAAGCUGAAUCCCUGGGCCUGACAGAUCAGCAACAGAGGUGAGGGAUUGAAAAGAAAAGUUGAGAGCACAAAAAGUUGAUUCAGCAAGAAAAUUUUGGAUGGCAUUAGGUGGUGAGAAAAAAAUAAGUGGCAAACUAACCUCCAAUUGCUCAAAAUCAGCUAGGCUUGAUUUGGGCUCAGCAUCAACAAUGGUGAAGAUAAGCAGGGAUGACCUCAUCAUUUAUUCAACCAGCACUAUCAUCCCCUGUCAACCAUGCCCAACUCAGUUCCAGCCAAGGCUUCAGCAUGGAGGGGAGUGGAAGAAGAGUAGGAUGCUGGACCAUAGAGGAUCUCUCACCUGCCAAUUCUCAGAUCUUGGAGAAAGGAUCAUCUUAGGCUGGGAGCUCCCACCUCCUUGCUCAGUCUCUUCCAUCUGGCUUACUCCUCCAGUAUCUUUUUGCCAAUGUCUCCUUACCUGACCAGCUGGGCCUCUGGAUCAGAAUCUUGGCCAAUCCUAUACCAAUUCUCACUCUUUACUGGCCUACAUUGGUUCCAGAGAAGCCAUCAGGCAUUUGUUGCUUCACAAACCCUGAGCAUGAGGGCUGUAUUGCAGUAUUCCCCAUUCUGUCAAUGCAAGCAACCAAAGUCAGCCCCAUUGAAGUAUCUUUCCCUAGGCAUGAGAUGAACAUAAACACCCCUUUCUCUACUUCCUUUGGAAUUGUAGAAUAUUUCCUAAACUUGACCUAAAGUGUUUUCCCCCCCAACUCUCCUGUUACUCUCUCCAACAGCUCUUACAGACUAGAACAGCUAAGGGUUACAAAACCAAAACAUUUCCCAGACAACCCCUUCACAAUUCCCAAGUUGGUAGUCUGGAACUCGGAAGUAGUUGGCACCUACUGUCUUGUGACCUGAGCCAGAACUGAUCACAUUUUUAAAAUCCUGGUCUUAAUUCUUCUGCAAUAUCUGUUGAGAUAAUUACAAUUACAUUGGAACAUAACAAAUCCAGGAUUGGAAUAUGUGGUAGUAAGCAUUCAGCUUAUACUGUUUGAAUACAGUAUUUUUAGAUGCAAUAGUAUGUGUACAAGUAAAUCUAGAAGGAGGGAAGAAAUACAUAGCACAUUUUUAUACCAAUAUUAAUAUGCCUGAGAGUUCCUACCACAAGACAAAAUUCUAGUGAAACUAUUAAAAGUGGUGUAUCGACAUGGAUGACUUCUAUUUACAAUUACCUCAUGACCAGUUACAUUCACAUGCUUUCAUGGAGCUCUACAGGACUACUUCAGAAGGAUUCACAGACCCCAACAUGGUCCUGAGUAAAGAAUUUACCAUCAGAGAUGUAGGGAACAAGCAUAGACCUCAGAAAACUACUCUACCCUUUAUGUGGUUUCUCAUUCUUUUCCAAUUUGUCUAGAAGGAACUAAAUGAAGUCUACUAGUAACUGCAAAUAAAGCUGACCCUACAAUUAAUUAUAAUAACA
ensembl:lncRNA